GCGGGUGUAGUGUAAGGUACACAGCUGGCUGCUGCCUUGGUUAGUUGAAUCACUGUCAUGAAAAGCGUCGAGCAGCAGAUCCGGGUUCGACUCCCGUCGCCCCCA